rnacentral:rRNA from 1 species
AGGGGCAGCAUGAACUUAGCUUGCUGAGUUUGAUGGCGACCGGCGCACGGGUGAGUAACACGUAUCCAACUUUGCCGAUGACUCGGGGAUAGCCUUUCGAAAGAAAGAUUAAUACCCGAUGGCAUAGUUCUUCCGCAUGGUAGAACUAUUAAAGAAUUUCGAUAAUCGAUGGGGAUGCGUUCCAUUAGUUUGUUGGCGGGUAACGGCCCACCAAGACAUCGAUGGAUAGGGGUUCUGAGAGGAAGGUCCCCACAUUGGAACUGAGACACGGUCCAAACUCC